GGCAACGACCGUACCGCAAACCGACACACUGCGCGAGAUGAGUAUUCUAAGGCGCUUGAGAGAACUCAGGAGAAGGAACUCGGCAAAUUGACACCGUAACUUCGGAAGAAGGUGUGCCCUAUUAGUGAGAAGUGAACAACGGAGCAUGAAUGGGUUGCAAAAAAUCGGUGGCUGCGACUGUUUAUUAAAAACACAGCACUCUGCAAACACGAAAGUGGACGUAUAGGGUGUGACGCCUGCCCGGUGCUGGAAGAUUAAAUGAUGGGGUGCAAGCUCUUGAUUGAAGUCCCAGUAAACGGCGGCCGUAACUAUAACGGCCCUAAGGUAGCGAAAUUCCUUGUCGGGUAAGUUCCGACCUGCACGAAUGGCGUAACGAUGGCCACACUGUCUCCUCCUGAGACUCAGCGAAGUUGAAAUGUUUGUGAUGAUGCAAUCUCCCCGCGGAAAGACGGAAAGACCCCAUGAACCUUUACUGUAGCUUUGUAUUGGACUUUGAACAGAUCUGUGUAGGAUAGGUGGGAGGCUUUGAAGCAGGGUCGCUAGAUCUUGUGGAGCCAACGUUGAAAUACCACCCUGGUGUGUUUGAGGUUCUAACCUAGGUCCAUUAUCUGGAUCGGGGACAGUGCAUGGUAGGCAGUUUGACUGGGGCGGUCUCCUCCCAAAGCGUAACGGAGGAGUUCGAAGGUACGCUAGUUACGGUCGGACAUCGUGACGAUAGUGCAAUAGCAUAAGCGUGCUUAACUGCGAGACUGACAAGUCGAGCAGAUGCGAAAGCAGGACAUAGUGAUCCGGUGGUUCUGUAUGGAAGGGCCAUCGCUCAACGGAUAAAAGGUACUCUGGGGAUAACAGGCUGAUACCGCCCAAGAGUUCGUAUCGACGGCGGUGUUUGGCACCUCGAUGUCGGCUCAUCUCAUCCUGGGGCUGUAGCCGGUCCCAAGGGUAUGGCUGUUCGCCAUUUAAAGAGGUACGUGAGCUGGGUUUAAAACGUCGUGAGACAGUUUGGUCCCUAUCUUCCGUGGGCGCUGCAGAUUUGAGGAAGCCUGCUCCUAGUACGAGAGGACCGGAGUGGACACACCUCUGGUGUAUCGGUUGUCACGCCAGUGGCAUUGCCGAGUAGCUAAGUGUGGAAGAGAUAACCGCUGAAAGCAUCUAAGCGGGAAACUCGUUUCAAGAUGAGAUCUGCCGGGGCCUUGAGCCCCCUAAAGAGUCGUUCAAGACCAGGACGUUGAUAGGUCAGGUGUGGAAGCGCAGUAAUGCGUUAAGCUAACUGAUACUAAUUGCUCGUGCGGCUUGACCA
rnacentral:rRNA from 1 species